rnacentral:rRNA from 1 species
UACGAAGGGGGCUAGCGUUGCUCGGAAUCACUGGGCGUAAAGGGUGCGUAGGCGGGUCUUUAAGUCAGGGGUGAAAUCCUGGAGCUCAACUCCAGAACUGCCUUUGAUACUGAAGAUCUUGAGUUCGGGAGAGGUGAGUGGAACUGCGAGUGUAGAGGUGAAAUUCGUAGAUAUUCGCAAGAACACCAGUGGCGAAGGCGGCUCACCGGCCCGAUACUGACGCUGAGGUGCGAAAGCGUGGGGAGCAAACAGG